GUGACAGAAUGAGAGCCUGUCUGAAAAAAAAAAAAAAGAAAACAUACAAUGCCUGGAUUUCCUUUAAAAUAAUCCAGGGAAGGGAGAAAGGGUGGAGACUAUAGAUAAGAAAAAACUGCCCAUGAACUGAUACUUGUUGAAGCAGAGUUAAUAGUACAUUAUAUCAUUCUUUCAUAUACUAUUAUUUUGUAUUUUUUGUAUCCAAAAGUUUUCAUAAUAAAGAGUUAAGAUAUAUCAUCUAAAAUCUGAAAGAAUAUGCACAAAAAUGUAGGAAGUCAAUGUGAAAUUACACUAACACAUGAAUACUUUCCUCCUUUUCUUCUUCAUUUUUUUUUUUUAGACGGAGUCUUGCUUUGUCACCCAGGCUGGAGUGUGGUGGCUUGAUCUCGGCUCACUGCAAGCUCCGCCUCCCAGGUUCAAGUGAUUCUCCUGCCUCAGCCUCCCAAGUAUCUGGGACUACAGGCUUGUGCCACCAGGUCUGGCUAAUUUUUUGUAUUUUUAGUAGAGACAGGGUUUCACUGUGUUAGCCAGGCUGAUCUCCAUCUCCUGACCUUGUGAUCUGCCCGCCUCGGCCUCCCAAACUCCUUUUCUUCUUUAUCUGUAGCAAUGAGCAUGCAUAAUCAGAAAGAAAAAUAACGUUUAAAAGUGGGUUUAAAGUCUCUGUACAAGUUGUGGCUAAAAGGGGCACCAAAAGUAGCCACUUGUGGGCAGGCUGCUCCCUCCUCCCUCCGGGAGAAACACAGGUGCUGCUUUGUGCCCUUAGCUCCUGGAGCCUGGGGCUGAGCUGGGAGGGAGUAAAGGGGAGGGGGGUGGCAGGGUGUGUACUGGGGCCUGUAUUCUAUGCUGAGCAGAGUCCCAGCCACUCCUCGUGCAGCUUGUGAGGAAGCCAUUGGUGGUCAUCUUUAACAGAAUGCGAUCCAGGACUGCACGUGGCAUUCCGCUGCCGUGUCUCAGUGGGAUCCUUCCAUCCAGAACGGCUCCUCCGUCUUUCUCCUCCUCUCAUAAUUUUGACAGUUUUAAAGCAUCCAGGCUAUUUUUGUCUUUCAUAACCUUGACACUCUUGAAGAGUACUGGCCAAUUAUUUUGUAGAAUGUCCUCCAACUUGAGUUUGUCUAGUGCUUUCUCACAAUGAGAAUGAGGUUUUGUGUUUUUGGUGAGAACACCACAGAAGCAGGUUAUACCCUUCCCCAUGCAUUAUAUCAGGAGGCACAUGUGAUAUUGCUGCAUCCCAUUACUGGAGACGUUAACUUUGAGAGAUGAUGUAGCAAAGAUUUCUCCAUUGUAAAAUCCUAUUUUUCCUUCUGAACUUAAUGAGUAUCUUACAAGGAGCUGUCUUGGAGACUAUGUAAAUAUCUUGUUUAUCAUCAUACUUUCACCAACCAAUUUUGGCAUUCAUUGGUGAUUCUUGUCUGCAAUAUUAAUUACCACUGUGUUUUCCAACAGAUGAUUUUUCUACUUUCAUAAUUCCUUCUCCAUUUAUUAAUUGUAAUUCAGUGGUAAGGAAGAGCUGUCCCUUCUCUCCCAAUUACUUAUGCAAUUAUUUCAGUAUAGACUCAUGGAUAUUUAGUUUAUUCUACCAGUGAUAAUCCAUGACCAACAUCAUUUGUAUCAUUGUUCCAACUGUCCCAGGUAUGGCCAAUGUAAGCAUCUUCAAGUCACCCCUUGUGUUUGUUUGAAAUGCCCUUAUUCUAUUUUGAGCACUUCCUUUCUGACAUAAGAUGUUCCAGGAUUAUUUUAUAAUUUCACUGACCCCACCCUGUACUUAAUCAUUUCUCCAAAGAACUCUGCUUCCUUUAUUGAGGGAAUGUAUUUAGAAUCUAAGAUCUGGGUGCUGGAUGUCCUCAUUGUUACUGAGGUGUCACUGUGUCUAGGGCCUCUCAGCAGACAGAGCUAGGGAAUAUGGGUUACCAACUCUGAAACUAUUUUAUGGGUAUUCUGAGAUUGAGCAAAUAAGUAAAUACAUUGUAUUUAGUGGGAGGGAGGCAUCUCACUGUCAAAGAGAGAACUACAAAUAAAAAGGGAAGGGCAAAGUGAACCCUAUUGUGUUAGAUUAGAAUCAGAGGCAUCAGCAUGAGCUCCUGAUUUUUAGUGUAUGUACAGAUUGACAGAUAUAGAAAUAAAUAUGACCUGGCAAUUCCAUUCCUAGGCAUAUACCUAGCAGAAAUCCAUGGUCAUAAAAAAAAACAUGGACAAGAAUGAUCAUGCUGGGAGUGGUGGCUCACGCCUGUAAUCCCAACACUUUGGGAGGCUGAGGCAAGCAGAUUGCUUGAGUCCAGGAGUUUGAGACCAGCCUGGGCAACAUGGCGAAACCCUGUCUCCACUAAAAAUACAAAAAUUAGCUGGGUGUGGUGGUGCAUGCCUGUAGUUCCAGCUACUUGAGAGGCUGAGGUAGGAGGAUGGCUUGAGCCUGGGAGUCAGAGACUGAAGGGAGCCAAGAUUGUACCACUGCACUCCAACCUGGGGAACAGAGUGAGACCCUGAAGAAAGAAAGAGAGAAAGAGAGAAAGAGAAAAGAAAGAAGAAAGAAAGGAAGAAAGAAAGAAAGAAAGAAAGAGAAAGAAAGAAAAAAAGAGAGAAAGAGGAAGAAAAAAAAAGAAUGAUCAUAGGAUCAUAGCUGCACUAUUAUCAUAGUCCUAAGCUGUAAACCACGCAAAUUCCCGUUGACACCAGACUAAAGAAUGAAUGACCGACCACUACAUGCAACAUUAUGGAUGAAAAUACAAUUGCGGAAAGACAUUUUCUCAAAAAAUGCUGUGUGAUACCAUUUAUAUAAAGCACAAACCAGGCAAAUUAAUCCAUGUCACAAGAACUCAGUAUCAAUUUUCUGCAAGAGAAACGAGGGGGUUUCUGAGCUGCUGGUAGUGUUCUGUCAUUUGGUCUGGGUGCUGGUUGCAUUGGUGUGUCUAAUUC
rnacentral:lncRNA from 1 species